GAAGAUAUUCUGAGAGUGUCAUUGAAAUUCUACACUCUUAUGUUCUGAAAGUUGCCAUAUUUCUACUCAGGAACUGCUUGUGGGUGAGUCGGCCUGGAUCAUUCAGCAUGUAGUCCUUAUCUUGAAUUCACAAAAUCAGACCACACCUUUGAAGGGCCACAUCCAAACCAAAAACUUCUCAUGAAAUAGAACGAUAGUGACUACACUUUUAAAAGGUCAAGAGAUUUGCCUUGGGUUUCUACAGCCAAAGAGUUUCAUCACUUUUUCUGUGGAGUGUUGAGCUGCCAGGACUUUGAAAUGAAAUAUAUCUACUGUGGCAAAGAUUUCUCUCAAGCAUUGCGGUUAUUCACAGACAACAGGCAAAAAGAAGGCCAUGUGAAGACAGAAGAAGAAAUUGGAGGCACCAGACACUGGAAGAAGCAUGGAAGUAUCCCCUCCUGGACCCUUCCCUUACAAACACCUAGAUUUUGAACUUCUGGAUUUCAGAAUUGUAAGAGAAUAAAUUAUUAUUAUU